GCGCCCGUAGCUCAGCUGGAUAGAGCAACUGACUUCUAAUCAGUAGGUCAGAGGUUCGAACCCUCUCGGGCGUACCA
rnacentral:tRNA from 1 species